GAAUAUAAUACAAUUUUUCAGAACAGAAUUGUAAGCUAUCAAAUAUAUCAUCAAGUGGGUUACUAUUUUACAGUAAAGAAUUCCUGCAGAUUAAUAUUUUCACAGAUUCAAAAUCAUCUUUACAAGUGCUUACUAUGAAAAAUAGUUCUAAUGCCUUGAUUCAGGAGUACCAUAAAUUGGCUAAUAUGCUUAUUAACAGUAUUACUUUGUUUAUAUUCCUAGUCACUUUGGUAUCUCAGAUAAUGAAAAUGCUGAUGCUAAGAAAAAACAGCAUCUGCAUUGAGAAAUGAGGAAGUAGACAUAACUCACAAGCCUAUUUCUAUGCAGAUAAUCAAGAUAGCUGUUCAAGGCAUUCUUAGAAAUAAAUGGAGUGGAAGAUGGAAGAUUUCAACAAAGGAAACAGUUAUAAAAAAUUUUUCUCUAUGGGUUUUCAUUCUUUAAAUUUACCAAUAACUCAGAUGAAUUAUUCUCUAGGCCAAGUCCUUACUGGUCAUAAAAGCUUUAAUGUCUAUAUGGCUAAAUACAAUCUUUCUAAUAAUGCCUUUUAUGUAUGUUGUAACAUUAAAU
rnacentral:lncRNA from 1 species